rnacentral:rRNA from 1 species
AUUGAGCGCUGGCGGCAGGCCUAACACAUGCAAGUCGAACGAGUGGCGGACGGGUGAGUAAUGUCUGGGAAACUGCCUGAUGGAGGGGGAUAACUACUGGAAACGGUAGCUAAUACCGCAUACCAUCAGAUGUGCCCAGAUGGGAUUAGCUUGUUGGUGGGGUAACGGCUCACAAGGGCGACGCUCCCUAGCUGGUCUGAGAGGAUGACCAACCACACUGGAAAAUGGUCACGGGCCCGACUCCUACGGGAGUCAGCAGUGGGGAAUAAUGCACAAUGGGCGCAAGCCUGAUGCAGCCAUGCCGCGUGUAUGAAGAAGGCCUUCGGGUUGUAAAGUACUUUCAGCGGGGAGGCGUUACCCGCAGAAGAAGCACCGGCUAACUCCGUGCCAGCCGCCGCGGUAAUUC